GAUGAAGAACGUAGCGAAAUGCGAUAAGUAAUGCGAAUUGCAGAAUCCGUGAGUCAUCGAAUCUUUGAACGCACAUUGCGCCCUCUGGUAUUCCGGAGGGCAUGCCUGUUCGAGCGUCAUUAUCACCCCUCAAGCCCGGCUUGUUGUUGGAUGCAGUGCUUAUCCCGCUCCUCCCAAAGAUAAUGACGGCGUCUGCGACGACUCCUGUACACUGAGCUUUCGGGCACGUACACGGCUAGAAGUCCAGACCCGGUCGCCGUCCCCCCCGCGGGGACACCCAUUACCACAAGGUUGACCUCGGAUCAGGUAGGAAUACCCGCUGAACUUAAGCAUAUCAAUAAGCGGAGGA
rnacentral:misc_RNA from 1 species